GUUUAUAUAGUUUAAAUAAAACCUUACAUUUUCAUUGUAAAAAUAAAAUAAAUAUUUUUUAUAAAUA
rnacentral:tRNA from 1 species